CCCUUAGAUGUUCUGGGCUGCACGCGCGCUACACUGAUGCGAUCAACAAGUUUUUCCUAUAUCGAUAGACACGGGUAAUCUUUUGAACUCGCAUCGUGAUGGGGAUAGAUUAUUGUAAUUAUUAAUCUUCAACGAGGAAUUCCUAGUAGGUGCAAAUCAUCAGUUUGCAUCGAUUACGUCCCUGCCCUUUGUACACACCGCCCGUCGCUGCUACCGAUUGGUUGAUCUGGUGAAUUAUUCGGACUGCCGGCUGAAGGGGUUUCCUCAUCUGCCAGCGGAAAGUCUUGUUAACCCUAUCAACUAGAGGAAGCAGAAGUCGUAACA
rnacentral:rRNA from 1 species